UGCGGGGUGGAGCAGCUCGGUAGCUCGUCAGGCUCAUAACCUGAAGGUCGUAGGUUCAAAUCCUGCCCCCGCAA
rnacentral:tRNA from 1 species